UACGUAGGGUGCAAGCGUUGUCCGGAAUUAUUGGGCGUAAAGGGCUCGUAGGCGGUUUGUCGCGUCGGGAGUGAAAACACGGGGCUUAACCCCGUGCCUGCUUCCGAUACGGGCAGACUAGAGGUAUGCAGGGGAGAACGGAAUUCCUGGUGUAGCGGUGAAAUGCGCAGAUAUCAGGAGGAACACCGGUGGCGAAGGCGGUUCUCUGGGCAUUACCUGACGCUGAGGUGCGAAAGCUAGGGGAGCAAACGGG
rnacentral:rRNA from 1 species